GAAUAGGGGAGCCGGAGGGAAACCGAGUCUUAAUUGGGCGUUAAGUUGCAGGGUAUAGACCCGAAACCCGGUGAUCUAGCCAUGGGCAGGUUGAAGGUUGGGUAACACUAACUGGAGGACCGAACCGACUAAUGUUGAAAAAUUAGCGGAUGACCUGUGGCUGGGGGUGAAAGGCCAAUCAAACCGGGAGAUAGCUGGUUCUCCCCGAAAGCUAUUUAGGUAGCGCCUCGUGAAUUCAUCUCCGGGGGUAGAGCACUGUUUCGGCUAGGGGGCCAUCCCGGCUUACCAACCCGAUGCAAACUGCGAAUACCGGAGAAUGUUAUCACGGGAGACACACGGCGGGUGCUAACGUCCGUCGUGAAGAGGGAAACAACCCAGACCGCCAGCUAAGGUCCCAAAGUCAUGGUUAAGUGGGAAACGAUGUGGGAAGGCCCAGACAGCCAGGAUGUUGGCUUAGAAGCAGCCAUCAUUUAAAGAAAGCGUAAUAGCUCACUGGUCGAGUCGGCCUGCGCGGAAGAUGUAACGGGGCUAAACCAUGCACCGAAGCUGCGGCAGCGACACUGUGUGUUGUUGGGUAGGGGAGCGUUCUGUAAGCCUGUGAAGGUGUGUCGUGAGGCAUGCUGGAGGUAUCAGAAGUGCGAAUGCUGACAUAAGUAACGAUAAAGCGGGUGAAAAGCCCGCUCGCCGGAAGACCAAGGGUUCCUGUCCAACGUUAAUCGGGGCAGGGUGAGUCGACCCCUAAGGCGAGGCCGAAAGGCGUAGUCGAUGGGAAACGGGUUAAUAUUCCCGUACUUGGUGUUACUGCGAAGGGGGGACGGAGAAGGCUAUGUUGGCCGGGCGACGGUUGUCCCGGUUUAAGCGUGUAGGUGUGUGUUCCAGGUAAAUCCGGUUCACUUUAACACUGAGGCGUGACGACGAGGCACUACGGUGCUGAAGCAACAAAUGCCCUGCUUCCAGGAAAAGCCUCUAAGCAUCAGGUAACAUCAAAUCGUACCCCAAACCGACACAGGUGGUCAGGUAGAGAAUACCAAGGCGCUUGAGAGAACUCGGGUGAAGGAACUAGGCAAAAUGGUGCCGUAACUUCGGGAGAAGGCACGCUGACACGUAGGUGAAGUGAUUUACUCAUGGAGCUGAAGUCAGUCGAAGAUACCAGCUGGCUGCAACUGUUUAUUAAAAACACAGCACUGUGCAAACACGAAAGUGGACGUAUACGGUGUGACGCCUGCCCGGUGCCGGAAGGUUAAUUGAUGGGGUCAGCGCAAGCGAAGCUCCUGAUCGAAGCCCCGGUAAACGGCGGCCGUAACUAUAACGGUCCUAAGGUAGCGAAAUUCCUUGUCGGGUAAGUUCCGACCUGCACGAAUGGCGUAAUGAUGGCCAGGCUGUCUCCACCCGAGACUCAGUGAAAUUGAACUCGCUGUGAAGAUGCAGUGUACCCGCGGCAAGACGGAAAGACCCCGUGAACCUUUACUAUAGCUUGACACUGAACAUUGAGCCUUGAUGUGUAGGAUAGGUGGGAGGCUUUGAAGCGUGGACGCCAGUCUGCGUGGAGCCGACCUUGAAAUACCACCCUUUAAUGUUUGAUGUUCUAACGUGGACCCGUAAUCCGGGUUGCGGACAGUGUCUGGUGGGUAGUUUGACUGGGGCGGUCUCCUCCUAAAGAGUAACGGAGGAGCACGAAGGUUGGCUAAUCCUGGUCGGACAUCAGGAGGUUAGUGCAAUGGCAUAAGCCAGCUUGACUGCGAGCGUGACGGCGCGAGCAGGUGCGAAAGCAGGUCAUAGUGAUCCGGUGGUUCUGAAUGGAAGGGCCAUCGCUCAACGGAUAAAAGGUACUCCGGGGAUAACAGGCUGAUACCGCCCAAGAGUUCAUAUCGACGGCGGUGUUUGGCACCUCGAUGUCGGCUCAUCACAUCCUGGGGCUGAAGUAGGUCCCAAGGGUAUGGCUGUUCGCCAUUUAAAGUGGUACGCGAGCUGGGUUUAGAACGUCGUGAGACAGUUCGGUCCCUAUCUGCCGUGGGCGCUGGAGAACUGAGGGGGGCUGCUCCUAGUACGAGAGGACCGGAGUGGACGCAUCACUGGUGUUCGGGUUGUCAUGCCAAUGGCACUGCCCGGUAGCUAAAUGCGGAAGAGAUAAGUGCUGAAAGCAUCUAAGCACGAAACUUG
rnacentral:rRNA from 1 species